ACAUUGGAAUGUGGAGAGAGGCUGUACAAUUCAGUCCAUAGUAUGAGUUGGCUGGACGGUUUAUACCACUAAUGAGCCCUUUAAAUAACUGCAGCAUGGAGGUAAUUGGAGUAGCCCACAGAAUUUCCAAAAGUUCCCCUUAUUUUACGUGAUUGCUACAGCAAUAUUUCACCCAACCUCCUCUUCCUGUCAUUGCAUGUUUAUUUCUGCCUAUCUGUCUCCAGGGACCCUGAGACCCAGACUCUGACCUUGGUCAUUGCUUCACAGACACCAUAUCCAGAGAACUUGACUCUAACCUGGACUUCCGUUCAUUGCGGAAGGGACUAAGGUACAGACAGAGGCAGAAGCAAAACUGUGUUGAAGCCAAGAAGCCAAAGAGGAAGUCCUCGAAGGAAGCCAGUUCACGGACACCGCAGUCUUGGACUUUGAAACUGCGGAAAGGCUAUGAAACCAUUCUGUGUUUAAGCCACUUACUGCAGCCUUCUGAGACCUUUGCUAUGACAGCUUCAGCAAACCAACAGAGGCGCAAACGUGUUUCCUAAGGCCCAUCUCUAACAGCAUUCCUCUCUGCAGGCUGAUGACAUAGCCCUAGGCUAACUGGAAGCCCAGACUCCCAUACCUGGCCCCACACCCGCCAUAGUUUGGCAACUCAGGUGUUCCUACGUGAACUUGCCACACUGGCCCACAGUUUGCCAGCCUGGAGACAGAGGCCCCGAUCUUGGCAGGCAUAGUUUGCCUGCAGGGCUUUUCUACCUGGAACAGAGGGAGCAUCAUGGCUUUAGAACGUUUUGCCCCUUAGCAGCAGAAGUUAGCUGGUGUAAACCUUACUGUCAGUCAGUGGCCAUGUUUUCCCAGACAGAAACAACUGGAAUGUAUAAGAAGGGAAAGUUGGAGAGGGUUUACUAUCCCUCCAGUUGCUUCGUUCAUUCAAGCGAACAAUUCGAGAGAUGCUGACUUCCUGACACUCAUUCUGCUGAAUUCCAUCUGCAUCCCUGCUUUC
rnacentral:lncRNA from 1 species